rnacentral:rRNA from 1 species
AGAGUUUGAUCAUGGCUCAGGAUGAACGCUGGCGGCGUGCUUAAUACAUGCAAGUCGAACGAAGCUCUUUUUCUUCGGAUGAAGAGUCUUAGUGGCGAACGGGUGCGUAACGCGUUGGUAACCUGCCCCAAAGAGGGGGAUAACAGUUCGAAAGGACUGCUAAUACCCCAUGUGAUCAUCAGGAUUAGAUGCUUGAUGAUGAAAGGAGUAAUCCGCUUUGGGAGGGGCCUGCGUCCCAUCAGCUUGUUGGUAGGGUAAUGGCCUACCAAGGCUCUGACGGGUAGGGGACCUGAGAGGGUGGCCCCCCACACUGGCACUGAAAUACGGGCCAGACACCUACGGGUGGCAGCAGUAGGGAAUAUUGGACAAUGGGCGAAAGCCUGAUCCAGCAACGCCGCGUGCACGAUGACGGCCUUCGGGUUGUAAAGUGCUUUUAGGAGAGAUGAGAAAGGACAGUAUCUCCCGAAUAAGCCUCGGCGAACUACGUGCCAGCAGCCGCGGUAAAACGUAGGAGGCGAGCGUUAUCCGGAUUUAUUGGGCGUAAAGCGCGUGCAGGCGGUUUGGAAAGUUGGAUGUGAAAGCUCCUGGCUUAACUGGGAGAGGUCGUUCAAAACUACCAGACUAGAGAAUGGGAGAGGGAAGUGGAAUUCCGGGUGUAGUGGUGAAAUGCGUAGAUAUCCGGAGGAACACCAGUGGCGAAAGCGGCUUCCUGGACCAUUUCUGACGCUAAGACGCGAAAGCUAGGGGAGCGAACGGGAUUAGAGACCCCGGUAGUCCUAGCUGUAAACGAUGUAGACUUGCGUUGGCGGAGUUAAAUCUGCCAGUGCCGGAGCUAACGCGUUAAGUCUACCGCCUGGGGACUACGACCGCAAGGUUAAAACUCAAUGAAUUGACGG